CUACGGGGUGCAGCAGUGGGGAAUAUUGGACAAUGGGGGAAACCCUGAUCCAGCAAUGCCGCGUGUGUGAAGAAGGCCUGCGGGUUGUAAAGCACUUUCGGUUGGGAGGACUGCUUCUAGCACUAAUAUUGUUGGAAGUUGACGUUACCUUCAGAAGAAGCACCGGCUAACUCCGUGCCAGCAGCCGCGGUAAUACGGGGGGUGCAAGCGUUAAUCGGAAUUACUGGGCGUAAAGCGCGCGUAGGCGGCUAGAUCAGUCGGGUGUGAAAGCCCCGGGCUUAACCUGGGAACUGCAUCCGAUACUGUCUAGCUUGAGUACAGGAGAGGAGAGUGGAAUUCCACAUGUAGCGGUGAAAUGCGUAGAUAUGUGGAGGAACACCAAUGGCGAAGGCAGCUCUCUGGCCUGAUACUGACGCUGAGGUGCGAAAGCGUGGGGAGCAAACAGGAUUAGAUACCCCCGUAGUC
rnacentral:rRNA from 1 species